ensembl:lncRNA
GGAGCUUCCACAGAUUCAAUAACAUUAGCAAGUGGUGGAAGCCAGCAGGUGGAUGAAGGAAAAGGGAGGCAAGAGGAGAGACCCGGCGGCCGCGCGGUCCGCGUGUCAGGUGAACUGAACUUCAGCUGGAUGCUGCCGUCCAGAUUCGUGGAGCUCCUCAGCUCAGCCACCCACUCCACCGCAGCCUGACCCAGAGCCCCGUCAACCCCCAUCCUGGCCGAGAGACUCACAUAGGCACUGAGAACAAACAGAUAAGUUUCACCUGACACACCAAAAAAAAAAAAAAAAACCAGACAGUGAAGAAAGAUGAGCGCAUGUGACAUUUGGUAACGUUUAAGUACUUGGGUUUGAUGUAUCCAUUCAGGGAGAAAUGGGAAUAAUCCCUGUAGUUGACUCUGCCUUUCAGAUGCAGUGAAAGAAGGGAGGUCAUGUUGAUGCCCAGUUUGACGGGUAAACCAGACAGAGACGGCAAAGCCAGCUCCUCCGCCAUCAAAGUGGAUCUGUGGUUCAGCUGCACCUCAUGACCCUGAAGAAACUAUUUUAUUAAAGCUGACCUGCAUCAUU